rnacentral:lncRNA from 1 species
CUCAACUGUGUCCGCUCAACUACAAAAUAAUUUUGAGGCUACGUGCCAUGCCUAUAUCUUGCAACGUGUAGAUCAUACGAGCAAGUUCCCUACAAUUCGAGGUUUUUUUGAUGAUGGUCCGAUGUGGAUCGUACUUAUUCCACCAUCUGGACCAACCUAUCCCGCAUCAGCAGUGGCGGUUUUCUCUAUAUCUAAAGAGAAACAGCUGAGCUACUCCCUAAUGUAUGGAUUCAUAAUUAGCUUCAAAGUUUACGACAAGUUAAAUUAUCAUGGUCCACACCUAGAUCCAACCUAUCCUACUUUGUUGUGGGAAUUAA